rnacentral:rRNA from 1 species
UACGGGGGGAACGAGCGUUGUUCGGAUUUACUGGGCGUAAAGGGCACGUAGGCGGGAAAGCUAGUCAGGUGUGAAAUCCCAAAGCUCAACUCUGGGACUGCAUUUGAUACUGCUUUUCUUGAGUACGAGAGAGGAUGGCGGAAUUCUUGGUGUAGCGGUGAAAUGCGUAGAUAUCAAGAAGAACACCGGUGGCGAAGGCGGCCAUCUGGCUCGAUACUGACGCUCAGGUGCGAAGGUCGGGGGAGCAAACAGG